UGCCAACCCGGUGUCUGCACUAAGUUCGGCAUCAAUAUGAUGACCUCCUGGGAGCAGGGGGCCACCAGGUUGCCUAAGGAUGAGUGAACUGGCCCAGAUCAGAAAGGGAGCAGGUCAGAACUCCCGCACCAACCGGUAGUGUGACUGUGCCUGGGCA
rnacentral:SRP_RNA from 1 species